UUGCCAAUUUAAAAAUCCUCAGUUAUUAUAAUGUGGACACCAAAGCAUUGAGUGAUAUAAUGUUGUCCUCAUUGACUCUACCUUGCCGCAUUGCACUUAAAUGAAAAUGCAGACCGAUCACAGGCUACCUCUGCUGCUGGAGACCUGCUGUACAAGAUUUCAUUUCCAAAGGCAAAGAGGGGCGAGUGUGUUGAUAAACCACUCAAAGCAGCACCAACGUUUUGUAAGUUCACCUCUUUUACGUUGUGUUUGUAGGUGUGUGUAUAUAUAAUAGUGUGUAUAUAUAAUAUUUUACUGUGAACCAAUAAUAAAAAAAAGUGAAUAACAGUCCUCAAAAACAGAUACAAUAUCAAUUACUGUAAUAGUUUGCCUUCUUUCAUAUACUUUGGUCUAGAUUACGUUGAAAAUCUGCUUGACACUAUCUUCGAGAAAGUCCUGCUGGACUGGUAUGUGGAGGAACUUCGGAACAUUCCUGUUCCAGCGCCCCUUUGUGCAGAUUUUGAGUGGCCUGACAGAAGGGAGGUCAUCGAUGCGAUGGUUUCACGAUUCAACAACCCAUAGCAAAGCUAGUGAUGCCAUGAAGCCUUUACCUUCCCCCCAGGUGUGUGUGAUUGCAAGCAAGACCUGGAGACUUAAUCUGCUAGAGCUUCUGCACAGCUUCAGUGUGAUGUGAACAACAAAGAACAUGACAUCUCCCCAACCAUCUGUGGUCUUUCUAGCUUACUAACUUGGACAAUAAACAUCGGACUGUUCUGACA
rnacentral:lncRNA from 1 species